ACGAACGCUGGCGGCGUGCUUAACACAUGCAAGUCGAGCGGAAAGGCCCUUUCGGGGGUACUCGAGCGGCGAACGGGUGAGUAACACGUGAGUAAUCUGCCCUUCACUUUGGGAUAACUACCGGAAACGGUGGCUAAUACCGGAUACGACAUCUCCUCGCAUGGGGUGGGUGUGGAAAGUUUUUUCGGUGGGGGAUGUGCUCGCGGCCUAUCAGCUUGUUGGUGGGGUAAUGGCCUACCAAGGCUUCGACGGGUAGCCGGCCUGAGAGGGUGACCGGCCACACUGGGACUGAGACACGGCCCAGACUCCUACGGGAGGCAGCAGUGGGGAAUAUUGGACAAUGGGCGGAAGCCUGAUCCAGCAACGCCGCGUGAGGGAUGACGGCCUUCGGGUUGUAAACCUCUUUCAGUACCGACGAAGCGCCGGUAAUGGUGGUGACGGUAGGUACAGAAGAAGCACCGGCCAACUACGU
rnacentral:rRNA from 1 species